rnacentral:misc_RNA from 1 species
GCUACAAAUUUUAAAUCUUGAAAACAAUACUUUUGAAGGGAAAAUUCCGUCCAACUUGUCCAAAUGCUUGAACAUCAAGGGACUUGGAUUAGGUUACAACAUGCUGGUUGGAAACAUUCCAGUGGAGCUCGCCUCUUUGUCCAAGCUCAAACUUAUUUCAAUUCAUUUUAAUUAUUUGAGCGGGGCCUUACCGCCAUUUUUUGGGAAUUUUAGCUCACUUGAGAGAUUCUCUGCUCAUCAAAAUUUCUUCGGUGGAAAUAUUCCACAUUCUUUUGGUCAACUCAAACACUUGUCAUUUAUUGGACUUGGAAGCAAUAACCUCUCAGGUAUCGUCCCUGAAUCCAUUUAUAAUAUUUCCUCCAUCACUGCAUUAUCUAUACCAAUUAAUUUCCUCCAUGGAAGUCUCCCAUGGAAUGUUGGCCUCCUUUUACCUAAUCUUCGCGUCUUNNACAAAUGUCGAUCAACAACUUCAGUGGAUCCAUUCCAUUGUCAUUAUCCAAUGCCACCAA